rnacentral:rRNA from 1 species
AGCGAACGCUGGCGGCAUGCCUAACACAUGCAAGUCGAGCGCUCCCAGCAAUGGGGGAGCGGCGGACGGGUGAGUAACGCGUAGGAACGUAUCCUGAGGUGGGGGAUAACCCUGGGAAACUAGGGCUAAUACCGCAUGAUGGCGAGAGCCCAAAGAUUUAUCGCCUUGGGAGCGGCCUGCGUCUGAUUAGCUGGUUGGUGGGGUAACGGCCUACCAAGGCGAUGAUCAGUAGCUGGUCUGAGAGGAUGAUCAGCCACACUGGGACUGAGACACGGCCCAGACUCCUACGGGAGGCAGCAGUGGGGAAUAUUGGACAAUGGGCGAAAGCCUGAUCCAGCAAUGCCGCGUGGAUGAAGAAGGUCUUCGGAUUGUAAAGUCCUUUCGGCGGGGACGAUGAUGACGGUACCCGCAGAAGAAGCCCCGGCUAACUUCGUGCCAGCAGCCGCGGUAAGGCACGACUG